UACAGAGGUCUCAAGCGUUGUUCGGAUUCAUUGGGCGUAAAGGGUGUGUAGGCGGCGCCGUAAGUCAGGUGUGAAAUCUCGGGGCUUAACUCCGAAACUGCAUUUGAUACUGCGGUGCUUGAGGACUGGAGAGGAGACUGGAAUUUACGGUGUAGCGGUGAAAUGCGUAGAUAUCGUAAGGAAGACCAGUGGCGAAGGCGGCUUUCUGGACCGACACUGACGCUGAUGCGCGAAAGCUAGGGGAGCAAACGGG
rnacentral:rRNA from 1 species